rnacentral:rRNA from 1 species
UACGUAGGGUGCGAGCGUUGUCCGGAAUUACUGGGCGUAAAGAGCUCGUAGGUGGUUUGUCGCGUUGUUCGUGAAAACCGGGGGCUUAACCCUCGGCGUGCGGGCGAUACGGGCAGACUGGAGUACUGCAGGGGAGACUGGAAUUCCUGGUGUAGCGGUGAAAUGCGCAGAUAUCAGGAGGAACACCGGUGGCGAAGGCGGGUCUCUGGGCCGAUAUUGACGCUGAGGAGCGAAAGCGUGGGGAGCAAACAGG